AAAGCAUAAGAACAUAAAACUCAUCUUUCAUGUCCUUAGUCUGAAAUCAGAUUCAGCUACUGUCCUUGCAUCUGUUUGAAGUUGGUAUGGGUUGAGGUGAACACCUGGCUAUUUUAGAAUGCUUUUUUUCCUCCCCUGUUGUGAACUUUUCCCAUUCUACAAAGCUUUCUUUUUUAGUUGCCAAGUUGGUUGCAAUUCUUUUGAGUUACUGAAGCUCAUGGGGAAACCAGAAGGGCGGCAGAAACGGUGAGGGCGGUUCAGGUUUUAAACAUGAAUAUUCUUGGAUGCAUAGGAUUACAGUAUAAUGUUUUGUUGUAAAUUAAAUACUCGUUUAAUGAUUGAAAAUUAUGGGGAAGUCAGCAGAAAAAUAUUGUGACAUCUGCUUAAUUGGAUUAUUUUCCUUUAUUAAAGGCUGGUAUAGAAAGAAACUACAUGUACACUCUUGACAGCUAUUGAUGUGCUGAGUCUGAUUCCUUGGAUGAAUACUAGGCAAAAACUCUAUCAAAAUUAGUGACCUACAUUAUGGUCAUGGAUUAAAUCCUUGCUUAGAACCAGCCUCAGAUGACAUCUGUUUGUCAUGAAAUAAAAUCUGGCUUUAACUUUUCAUACCAAUUGCACUUCAUUUGUCAGUUUGUUUUAACUUGUGUGCAGGUUAACAUUAUUAUCAGAGAGUUUGACUUUGUAGUGUGCUCAUGCUAUGAUUAGUAACACUGCAGGUCAGUGUGCUCUGUUGUUAAUACCUAUGGGACUGGGAGCUCAGUGCCUGUACAUCUUUUAAAGUAGGGCACUGAAUGAGAGAGGCCAAGGCAUUUGUAGCUGUUGGGCUGUGGUGCCACAGCUUUGGCUGCAGUGCUCAUUGCUAUAUCUGCUUUCAGUUACCUGUUUUCAGGCAUUUCUUAAGCCUGGUGGUUUUAGACCUCCACAGUUAAAGGAGUGUCCUGUACAAACAAAGGUGGAUUUUCCUGUUUGUUUUAAAGCAGUUGACAAUAAAACACAAAAACUAUUUCCAAACAGGGCUCUCAGAUGCAAAGGAUAUUCCUUGACCUCUUCUUUUAGCACCUGUUAAAAGGUUUGGAGUUCUGGGAUGUUCUUGAAUCAACCUGCAAAAUGGCCACAGCUUGGAGGACACCUGCCUUUUGCCACCAGCCAUUCAUGUUAAACCACUGCAGCACCAAUGGGGAGCUUUAGCUAAGAAGACACUGCUGGCAGCACUGAGAAUAGUGGAAGUCCUGUAACCACCAUCACACCCUCUGUCAUCUGCGAAAAAUGAAAAUUUUAAGAAGGCUUUUCCUUUAAAACAAAUGUUCAUGAAUGUCACUGCUGCACCUUUGUGAUUUUAAAUUCAAGUUGUAAACAGUCACAGAAUAAAGUUAUGUGUUUUACACA
rnacentral:lncRNA from 1 species